rnacentral:lncRNA from 1 species
UCCCACUUAGUGGGGUCUGGGGGGGGUAAGAUGUACGCAGUCCAUACCUCUACCUCUGAUGAAGUAGAAAGGCUGUUUCCGAAAGACCCCCGACUCAAGUUACGAGAUAUCACACAAACACAUAGUACAGCACAGCAGCAGAUGACAUAACAUAAAUACGGCACCCAUAGGGAAUAUAAAACAGAGUAAAGCGGGAAUGCAGGAAUAUAAAGCAGAGGAAAGCACACAGAUUCGUAAUAAACAUGGAACACGGAACACGAAACACUGAAACAUCUACUAUAUAUACAUAAAAAAUAAUUUUAAUCAUGUAUAUAGUAUAAUUUUCAAUUUCCAAGUUAAGAGUAUUGUAGAGCUGCAGGCCUUAAGAUGUAAAGGUGGAUGAACAAAUUAUAGCAGUCUAAUAUCUUAAGAUGUAUAGAUGAACAUAUGCAAAAUAUAUAUCCCCAAUUAAAGAAGGUAAAUUGAACGUCCAGAGAUGGUCAUGCCAUUUGCCUUAAUGAGAAACUGCCUUAUAUAAGAAGUGGAGAAACUGCCAUUAAAUGUUAAGAUUGAUGCUCUCUUAUAUGGAGCGGGUCAGUCCACACAUCCAGCGCAACAUCCGCAUUUCUGCCACCUUCAUUUUUUGGAUGUGGGAGUUCUUAACUGGCCAACACUCCGCUCCAUACAGCAAGGCCGGACGGACUACCACCCUAUAGAAUUUGCCUUUAAGCUUGGGCGGCACCUUCUUAUCACACAGCACCCCCGAUGCGAGUUUCCACUUCAUCCAUCUCGCCCCAAUACGGUGCGAGACAUCCUCGUCAAUCUCACCGUUACUCUGGAUCACGGACCCGAGAUACUUGAACUUAUCCCUCUUCCCUACCUCCUGUGCUUCUAGCCUCACUACUACCUCAUUCUCCCGCCUCACGUCAUUAAACUUACAUUCCACAUACUCUGUC